UUCCGCUCUCGUUAGCGCGUCUCGCGAGCGUUACAGUGACUCGCAGAGGCGGCGCUGCUUGGUUAGGCUACCGGAGGCCGUGAGACUGACGGUGCUUCUAGGCGGACGGGAAUAGAGACCAUGUUCCGAGCGGCGGCUCCAGGCCAGCUCCGGCGGGCGGCCUCAUUGUUACGAUUUCAGAGUACCCUGGUGAUAGCCGAGCAUGCAAAUGAUACUCUAGCACCCGUUACAUUAAAUACCAUCACUGCAGCCAAACGUCUUGGAGGUGAAGUGUCUUGCUUAGUAGCUGGAACCAAAUGUGACAAGGUGGCACAGGAUCUCUGCAAAGUAGCAGGUGUAGCAAAAGUUCUGAUUGCUCAGCAUGAUGCAUACAAAGGCCUCCUUCCAGAGGAACUGACACCGUUAAUUUUGGCAACUCAGAAGCAGUUCAAUUACACACACAUCUGUGCUGGAGCAUCUGCCUUUGGAAAGAACCUUUUGCCCAGAAUAGCAGCCAAACUUGAUGUUGCUCCAAUUUCUGAUAUCAUUGCAAUCAAAUCACCUGACACAUUUGUGAGAACUAUUUAUGCAGGAAAUGCUUUAUGUACAGUGAAGUGUGAUGAAAAAGUGAAGGUGUUUUCUGUCCGAGGAACAUCUUUUGAAGCUGCAGCAACAAGUGGAGGUAGUGCCAGUUCAGAAAAGGCAUCAAGUACUUCCCCAGUAGGGAUAUCAGAAUGGCUUGACCAGAAAUUAACAAAAAGUGAUCGACCAGAGCUAACUGGGGCCAGAGUAGUGAUAUCUGGUGGCCGGGGUUUGAAGAAUGGAGAGAACUUUAAGUUGUUGUAUGAUUUGGCAGAUCAACUACAUGCUGCAGUUGGUGCUUCUCGUGCUGCUGUUGAUGCUGGCUUUGUUCCCAAUGAUAUGCAAGUUGGACAGACGGGAAAAAUAGUAGCACCACUCUCAUGAGGUCCUGGGCAUAGAAGUUACCUUAAGAAUUUUAGAGUAAAGAUCAAGAAAUCCUGUGCAGAAGCAAUGGCCUAACUCUUCUUAGUAGUUUUAGGAAAGCGGCAGCUUGGAGCUUUAUAUUGCUGUAGGAAUAUCUGGAGCCAUCCAACAUUUAGCUGGGAUGAAAGACAGCAAGGUAGUUCCUGAAAUGACUGAGCUGCUGAAGAAAAAAUGAGUUACCAUAUUUCAAGAAGGAAUAUAUGUCAAAGUAUUCAGUUGAAGUAGAAAUUCAUGGCUAGUAUAAUCAAAAGUAUGAAGAGCUAAAUAUCGUAAUUUAAGAAAAAAUUCUCACAGAUGCCAGAAUGCUUUUUUAUGAGCCUGUUAUUAUAUUUCUUUUUAAUUAUUUGUGGUUCCAAACAAUUACUUUUUGAAAUUUUCUAAUUCUGUAAUAAAAUAUAUAAUAAUAAAACAUUUCCACAGCUUUAAAACUACUACCAGAAAUAUGCCUAGCUUCAUAAAGAAAAAAAACUGAAGAAAAUGAGUAAAAAUUGA